UACAGAGGCCUCGAGCGUUAGGCGGAAUCACUGGGCUUAAAGCGCGUGUAGGCGGACCGUUAAGUGUCUUGUGAAAUCCCAAGGCUCAACCUUGGAACUGCCUUUGAUACUGGGGAUCUUGAGUCCGGGAGAGGUGAGUGGAACUGCGAGUGUAGAGGUGAAAUUCGUAGAUAUUCGCAAGAACACCAGUGGCGAAGGCGGCUCACUGGCCCGGUACUGACGCUGAGGUGCGAAAGCGUGGGGAGCAAACAGG
rnacentral:rRNA from 1 species